UCUUCAGAAAACUUGGGUUUUCUUCCUUUUUGCAUCAAAGACUCCACCUUUUCUUCAUGAAAACCUUCCUUUAUCAUGGUGUGGACUUCUAGCUAGCAUUGAGGGAGUGGAGAGUGCCUUCUUGAAAGCUUUAGGGUCUGUUUUCUGUGCAUUCAAGGGGCUGAUAUCUUGGUUAAGUGAGUGGAAACCAUCUCCUUGGGUGUUGGAGCUUCGAGUGGUGAGCUUUGUGAAGAAAGAGCCAAUCUUGUUGCUCAUUUUUGUGGCUUUGUAAAGUCAGAUUGUUAGAGCUGUAUUGUGAGCUCCAAGAGAACCAUUGUUUCUGUUUCAAGCCUUGGUGAUUGUGAUUGUGCUGUUUCUGGACCUUGGGCUGUGGUGGACUCUUGGCUUGGGAUUUAUUGCUUAAGAGAGACAACUGCGAAAUUGAUCUGAAAAAGAUGUCGACUGGCCAAUCACGGAUUGAGGUUGAAAAGUUCGAAGGAAAGGGGUUCGAGUUAUGAAAAUUGAAGGUGGAGGCUUUGCUCGUUGACAGGGACGUGUGGCACGUGAUGGAAGAUGAGAAGCCAUUGGUACCAACGAAAACUAUCAAUGACGGAAUGUCGGAAAAAGACGAGUCGAAGGAGUCAAAGGAGUUGAAGGCGUGGACCAGAGAUGGUAGUCUCCCUAAUUAGCCUCUCGUUGUCCGCUGCCCAACAAUGGUAUCAGAGUCGGGUUGGGCUCGGGCUAAUCAGGUGAUUGGCUAGAGGUGAGUUUAGUACUUUGAGCCUGUAUAUUUGGAGUUGAGAGGGAGCAUACCAAUAUUGAGUUUUACACUUGAGGGUGAGAUUGUUGGGAUAUUCAAGUGUGACGAGUUUCACAUUGAUUGAUA